AAGGACGACGGGUGGUGGUAGUGCUAUGGGAGGAGCAGGUAGGGCUAUGGCGGCAUAAAGGUAUUAUGGUUUGAUGUUUAUUUUUACCUAGAUGAAUACUUAUAUAUAGCACUGAAUUUAUGAAUGUAGAUUUAUAGUAUUGUGUUUUUGAUGUUUACUUAUUGUCGUAAUCUCAUGUAUAGGUUGUGUAGAAAUCACUCAAGUCUGCUUUUUAUUGUGGAAGCUCGUUGUAUGUGUAAAAUUAUUUAUACUCUUGGUCCCGGCGCACGGAGCCUACAAGACGCCGAAUGUUCCUGCUGAUGCUUACCAAGCAGGAAAACACCAGAAUAAGUUCAACUUGGGGAAGAGCAUGAAGAUUGGCGAGAGGUGGGGUACCAGAAAGAGGCGACGUUAAAAUCGGUGCCAGUGACGACGACGGUGGACACGAUGAGCUUGGCGACAGCGGCUGCCGCAACAUUGUUGUACUUGGAGCCCAUGCUAUCCGAGCUCGACAAUGCCAAUAGCUCAGUCCUUUUGCGUGUUCAUUGACAAGUUGUUCGUACAGUACCUUGGCGUCAACAACCACGGCCAUGAUGACGGAGUCGUGCUGGCCGACUGCCCUGCUUCCAUGCGCUGAGCAGUCUACUGGUUUGAGAUGACCGUGAGGACUGCUGGGCU